UGGGGAAUCUUCCGCAAUGGACGAAAGUCUGACGGAGCAACGCCGCGUGACUGAUGACGGCCUUCGGGUUGUAAAGCUCUGUUAAUCGGGACGAAUGGUUCUUGUGCAAAUAGUGCGAGGAUUUGACGGUACCGGAAUAGAAAGCCACGGCUAACUACGUGCCAGCAGCCGCGGUAAUACGUAGGUGGCAAGCGUUGUCCGGAAUUAUUGGGCGUAAAGCGCGCGCAGGCGGAUUGGUCAGUCUGUCUUAAAAGUUCGGGGCUUAACCCCGUGAUGUGAUGGAAACUGCCAAUCUCGAGUAUCGGAGAGGAAAGUGGAAUUCCUAGUGUAGCGGUGAAAUGCGUAGAUAUUAGGAAGAGCACCAGUGGCGAAGGCGACUUUCUGGACGAGAACUGACGCUGAGGCGCGAAAGCCAGGGGAGCGAACGGG
rnacentral:rRNA from 1 species